rnacentral:rRNA from 1 species
AUUGAACGCUGGCGGCAUGCUUUACACAUGCAAGUCGAACGGUAACAGGCCGCAAGGUGCUGACGAGUGGCGAACGGGGGAGUAAUGCAUCGGAACGUGCCCAGUCGUGGGGGAUAACGCAGCGAAAGCUGUGCUAAUACCGCAUACGAUCUAUGGAUGAAAGCGGGGGACCGUAAGGCCUCGCGCGAUUGGAGCGGCCGAUGUCAGAUUAGGUAGUUGGUGGGGUAAAGGCUCACCAAGCCGACGAUCUGUAGCUGGUAUGAGAGGACGAAGAGCCACACUGGGAAUGAGACACGGCCCAGACUCCUACGGGAGGCAGCAGUGGGGAAUUUUGGACAAUGGGCGCAAGCCUGAUCCAGCAAUGCCGCGUGCAGGAAGAAGGCCUUCGGGUUGUAAACUGCUUUUGUACGGAACGAAAAGGUUUGGGUUAAUACCCUGGGCCGAUGACGGUACCGUAAGAAUAAGCACCGGCUAACUACGUGCCAGCAGCCGCAGUAA